GACGAACGCUGGCGGCGUGCUUAACACAUGCAAGUCGAACGAUGAAGCUAGAGCUUGCUCUGGUGGAUUAGUGGCGAACGGGUGAGUAACACGUGAGUAACCUGCCCCGAACUCUGGGAUAACUGCUGGAAACGGUAGCUAAUACCGGAUAUGACCAAUGAAGGCAUCUUCUGUUGGUGGAAAGAAUUUCGGUUCGGGAUGGACUCGCGGCCUAUCAGCUUGUUGGUGAGGUAACGGCUCACCAAGGCGACGACGGGUAGCCGGCCUGAGAGGGUGAUCGGCCACACUGGGGCUGAGACACGGCCCAGACGCCUACAGGAGGCAGCAGUGGGGAAUAUUGCACAAUGGGCGGAAGCCUGAUGCAGCAACGCCGCGUGAGGGAUGACGGCCUUCGGGUUGUAAACCUCUUUUAGCAGGGAAGAAGCGAGAGUGACGGUACCUGCAGAAAAAGCACCGGCUAACUACGUGCCAGCCGCCGCGGUAA
rnacentral:rRNA from 1 species